rnacentral:rRNA from 1 species
UGAGUAGGCCGGAGCACGAGGAAUUCCGGUUGAAUUCGGGCCGACCAUGGUCCAAGGCUAAAUAUGUCAGAUGACCGAUAGCGAAGAGUACCGAGAGGGAAAGGUGAAAAGCACCCCUGGCGGGGAGUGAAAGAGACCUGAACCCGUGUGCCUACAAGCGAUCGGAGCAUGGCCGGCGUUUUCGGACGCUGGGGUAUGUGACGGUAUGCCUUUUGUAAAAUGAGCCGGCGAGUUAUUGUGCGUAGCGAGGUUAAGGACUGAGAGGUCUGUAGCCGAAGGGAAACCGAGUCUGAAUAGGGCGCAAGUUUCGUACAAUGGACCCGAAGCCCGACGAUCUAUCCAUGUCCAGGUUGAAGCCCCGGUGAAGCGGGGUGGAGGACCGAACCGAAGCCUGUUGAAAAAGUCUCGGAUGAGGUGUGGAUAGGAGUGAAAAGCUAAUCGAGUUGGGUGAUAGCUGGUUCUCCCCGAAAUGCAUUUAGGUGCAGCCCUGAAUGUUUAGUGAUGGGGGUAGAGCACUGAAUGGACGCGGGCGGUUGUGACCGUACCAAAUCCAAUCAAACUGCGAAUACCAUUACUUGAGAGUUCAGGAGUGAGACUGCGGGAGAGAAGUUUCGUAGUCGAGAGGGAAAGAGCCCAGACCCACAGCUAAGGUCCCGAAGACAUGCUGAGUGUGGCAAGGAUGUGACGAUGCCUGGACAGCCAGGAGGUUGGCUUAGAAGCAGCCACCCUUUAAAGAGUGCGUAAUAGCUCACUGGUCGAGGAUUGUUGCGCCGAAAAUACCGGGGGCUAAGCAUGUCACCGAAGCUUGGGGAUUGGAUGUAAGUCCGAAUCGGUAGGGGAGCGUUCCAUGUAGGGAGAAGUCGAACCGGCGAGGUUCGGUGGACAGCAUGGAAGUGAGAAUGCCGGCAUGAGUAACGCGAAGUGUGUGAGAAUCACACUCACCGGAAGUCCAAGGGUUCCUGGGGAAGGUUGAUCCGCCCAGGGUAAGGCGGGGCCUAAGGUAAGGCCGAGAGGCGUAGCUGAUGGACAACAGGUUGCUAAUCCUGUCCCGCGAAGCGGUUGUUUGACGAUGGAGUGACGCAGGAAGCUAGGUGCGCCGGCGGAUGGAAUAGCCGGUCUAAGGGCGAAGCUUGGACGGGGAGGUAAAUCCCCCUGUUUAUAGGUGAGACCUGAAUGGGAGUUGUCAGAGAUGACGGCGAAGGCAUUGACGCUCGACUGCCAGGAAAAGCUUCUAAGGAGACCGCGCGCGCCCGUACCCGAAACCGACACAGGUGGACUGGCUGAGAAGGCUAAGGUGAGCGGGAGAACUAUCGUUAAGGAACUCUGCAAGUUGACCCCGUAACCUAGGGAGAAGGGGUGCCACAGGGGUGAAGGAGUACAUCCGGAGCUUGAUGUGGUCGCAGAAACCAGGCACAGGCGACUGUUUACUAAAAACACAGGACUCUGCAUAAGGCGUAAGCCGAAGUAUAGGGUCUGACACCUGCCCGGUGCUGGAAGGUUAAUUGGAGGGGUUAGUGCCGCGAGGUGCGAAGCUCUGAAAUGAAGCCCCAGUAAACGGCGGCCGUAACUAUAACGGUCCUAAGGUAGCGAAAUUCCUUGUCGGGUAAGUUCCGACCUGCACGAAAGGUGUAACGAUCUGUGCGCUGUCUCGACGGUAGACCCGGUGAAAUUGUGGUCCUGGUAAAGACGCCAGGUACCCGUGGUGGGACGGAAAGACCCCAUGGAGCUUUACUGUAACUUGGUAUUGGAUUUUGUCUUAUGAUGCACAGGAUAGGUGGGAGGCGUUGAGGCAGUCAUUUCGGUGAUUGAGGAGCCGUUGUUGGGAUACCACCCUUUGUAAGAUGAAAUUCUAACCCUUGAGCGUUGAAGCACGCGAGGGGACAUUGCCAGGCGGGCAGUUUGACUGGGGCGGUCGCCUCCCAAAGAGUAACGGAGGCGCGCAAAGGUCACCUCAGGGCGAAUGGAAACCGCCCUAAGAGAGCGUAAGCGUAUAAGGUGGCUUGACUGCGAGACUGACGGGUCGAGCAGGAACGAAAGUUGGUGCUAGUGAUCCGGUGGUUCCGAAUGGAAGGGCCAUCGCUCAACGGAUAAAAGCUACCCUGGGGAUAACAGGCUGAUCUCGCCCGAGAGUUCCAAUCGACGGCGUGGUUUGGCACCUCGAUGUCGGCUCAUCGCAUCCUGGGGCUGAAGCAGGUCCCAAGGGUUGGUCUGUUCGCCCAUUAAAGCGGUACGUGAGCUGGGUUUAGAACGUCGUGAGACAGUUCGGUCCCUAUCCACCAUGGGCGAGAGGUAUUUGAGGAGAGCUGUUCCUAGUACGAGAGGACCGGAAUGGACGAACCGCU